CGGGGUGCACCAGGCGCGAAAACUCUACCCUGUUUGCAACUGUGAUAGGGGAAUGUCUAGUGAUACUCAUUUUGGGUGUCUGUCCCACCGUCUAAAAAACGGUGGUUACCAAGGGCCGGUCAAUACCGGUGCCAACCGCCCCGGUAUUACCGCCGGCUCGAGUGGUGGCCUAUAUUAUUGAGUCUAAAGGGUCCUUAUCCGGCUUUGCAAUUCUUUUGGGAAAUCCAUCGGCUUAACCGUUGUUCGUCCGGGAGGCAUUACAUUGCUUGGAACUGGGAGAGGUAAGAGGUACUCAGGGUGUAGGAGUGAAAUCCUGUAAUCCUUUGGGGACCACCGGUGGAAAAGGCGUCUUACCAUAACAGGUCUUACGGUGAGGUACUAAAGCUAGGGGCACGAACCGGAUUAGAUACCCGGGUAGUCCUAGCCGUAAACGAUGCUCCCUAGGUGUCACAACAAUCUUGAAUUGUUGUGGUGCCAUAGGGAAUCCGUGAAGCUAGCCACUUGGGAAUUACUACCGCAAGGUUGAAACUUAAAGGAAUUGGGGGGGGACCAC
rnacentral:rRNA from 1 species